rnacentral:rRNA from 1 species
UACAGAGGUCCCAAGCGUUUGUUCGGAUUCACUGGGCGUAAAGGGUGCGUAGGCGGUCGGGUAAGUCUGAUGUGAAAUCUCACAGCUUAACUGUGAAACUGCAUUGGAUACUAUUCGGCUUGAGAGUUGGAGGGGGGACUGGAAUUCUUGGUGUAGCAGUGAAAUGCGUAGAUAUCAAGAGGAACACCAGUGGCGAAGGCGAGUCCCUGGACAACUUCUGACGCUGAGGCACGAAAACUAGGGGAGCAAACAGG